GGAGCCUCGGCUGUUGGGGCGGAAGCUUCCGGAAGCGCCGAGGGGCUACAAGGCGGAGGAGCGACGCGGUCGCGGUGCGAGGGCUCUCCGGCUGCUGGUGCGAGUGCGCCUGUUUGCCCGGCCACCUGCACGGGCUGCCCGGCUGCCCCGGCGGGUCCACGACGUCUCCGCAGCCGCCUGCCACGGGCCGCGUGUCGCCGUGCACUUGGAAGAAGUCGGGAAGUUCACGGUAUCGCAGUCUCUCAGGUGGAUAGGAUUCCUUGCUCUCGUCUACACGGUAAUCCAGCCCGCUUCCAGUUUGUUGACGCCAGCAGGCUUAGCCAGUGGUCCUGUAGGGAAUCGGACGUCUGCCAGGUAGGGUGGGCUCUCUGCUUGGUGUGGGAGGAGGAGGGGAGAAGGCCAAGGAGGGUUUCACAGUAUGAGAAAUGCUUUAAAAAUUGUGCUUGGGGCACCCGGGCGGCUCAGUCGGUUGAACGUCCGACUUCGGCUCAGGUCAUGAUCUCGCGGUCUGUGAGUUCGAGCCCCGCGUCGGGCUCUGUGCAGACAGCUCAGAGCCCGGAGCCUGUUUCGGAUUCUGUGUCUCCCUCUCUCUCUGCCCCUUCCCCAUUCACGCUCAGUCUCCCCCUCUCUCUCAAAAAUACAUACACCUUAAAAAAAUUUUUUUUAAUUGUACUUGAAAGGGAUUGGUUAUAUUUCUAUGUGUCAGAUCCCGGUCCUUUGUGCUCAUUACCGCACUUAACACGUCUGAGAGCGGGUUAAAGGUGGAGCCACAUUCUGUGUCUGUUUAUUCCUGCUCUUUGCACUCUACUCCACACAAUCUGAACCUCAAGCAUUACUGGGCUCGCCCACACUCUGCUCUCAGAGGACUGGAGGGUAAACAGUGAGGACUGAAAAUCCUGACCUCCUGGUGGCCUUAAAUGCAGAGCAAGCAGGAAAACUACAUUGGGGAUGUCAGGGAGGGGGAGAUGGGAGGAACGAGGGAGGUCAGGGAGGGGGAGAUGGGAGGACCGUUUGUUGCGGGGCUGUUAGUGACUCCUGUUUGAAGUGAUCUGAGUCGUGGAGGGCAGCCAAAUCGCGUGGACUUACAUAGAAGCCUGCACGAGUGACUGGGGCCAGAGGCUGGGAGGUCCAGUGGGUCUCUGGAUUCAUUACACCAUAAGAUUUUAGAGCAGGAGAGGACCUUAAGAGAUCACAUAGUCCCACCCUCCAUUUUAUAGAUGAAUCAAUGCGACUUAAGGAAUUUAAAAGAUAUCCCCAAUGUCUUGCUGGUUGGUAAUUGACUUGAAAUGAAAAUUAUAGUCUCCUCACCGUGAGUCGAGUAAUUUUUGCCAUCAGACAAGGCUGCUGAUUUGUGUGGUUUUAUCCUUAGCUUCUUGAUGGGUUUUAACUGACACAUGUGUCCCAUCUAGCCUGACUACAAGCUGACCUCCCCAACUCCUUUUUAAAUAAAUUGUCAAGGAAAUCUGUUCCUGUAAACUGC
rnacentral:lncRNA from 1 species